rnacentral:rRNA from 1 species
UAGAGUAACGCGUAUGACAACCUACCUAUCGAGACGGGGAACUAACCCGGCGAAAGUCGGACUAAUACCGCAUAAAACAGGGGCACCGCAUGGUGAUAUUUAGUUAAAGAAUUCGCUGAUAGAUGGGCAUGCGUUCCAUUAGGUAGUUGGUGAGGUAACGGCUCACCAAGCCGACGAUGGAUAGGGGAACUGAGAGGUUGGUCCCCCCACACUGGUACUGAGACACGGACCAGACUCCUACGGGAGGCAGCAGUGAGGAAUAUUGGCAAUGGGCGGGAGCCUGAACCAGCCAAGUCGCGUAGAAGGAAGAAGGAUCUAUGGUUCGUAAACUUCUUUGCAGGGGAAUAAAGUGCAGGACGUGUCCUGUUUUGUAUGUACCCUGAGAAUAAGGAUCGGCUAACUCCGUGCCAGCCGCUGC